AGUGUUGGAUUCGGAGCGUGACAGAGUGGUAUCAGAGAUUAGGUUUAAGAUCACUAGAGACUGUAAAGCGAUAUCAAAACUUCAUGUAUAAUUAAUAGGAUGUAACAGAAUGAUAUAAUAAUAACAUCAUAACUUAGGUCUAAAGUCACUAGGGACUAUGAUAUAAGUAAUAUCAAAACUUUUGGUUACAAGCAAUAGUGUAAUAGAAUGAUAUCAGAGCUUAAGGUUAUAAUCACUAAGAAUGUGAUUGA
rnacentral:lncRNA from 1 species